GAUGAAGAACGCAGCGAAAUGCGAUAAGUAGUGUGAAUUGCAGAAUUCAGUGAAUCAUCGAAUCUUUGAACGCACAUUGCGCCCUUUGGUAUUCCAAAGGGCAUGCCUGUUCGAGCGUCAUUUGUACCCUCAAGCUUUGCUUGGUGUUGGGCGUCUUGUCUCUAGCUUUGCUGGAGACUCGCCUUAAAGUAAUUGGCAGCCGGCCUACUGGUUUUGGAGCGCAGCACAAGUCGCACUCUCUAUCAGCAAAGGUCUAGCAUCCAUUAAGCCUUUUUUUCAACUUUUGACCUCGGAUCAGGUAGGGAUACCCGCUGAACUUAAGCAUAUCAAUAAGCGGAGGA
rnacentral:misc_RNA from 1 species